GUUUCCUGAGGACUCCUCAUGUCUCCUAAUGUCUCAUGUCUCCCCAUGUCUCCUCAUGACUGCUCAUGUUUCCUAAUGUCUCAUGUCUCCUCAUGUCUUCUCAUGAUUUUGUUUCAGCCAGGCUUUUCGCCCCCCCCAGGCAUCCUCCCCUGGUUCUGUUGGGGGAAGCAGAGUUUACAUACCACAAAUUCACAACAACACAAUAACACAAGCGUUGCAGCAGCAGAGGAGCUGUUGCCGUGCAGAUUAAGUGCUGUAAUCCUGAAGCGAAGGGAUGCGAUGACUGUCUGCAGAGGACCGGAUGUUCCUGGUUGCCCCACAUACACGGCAACAGCAGCGGUUUGUGGCUCCAUCCCACACACCCCCUUCCUUCAUCAUCAGCACCGCCACCCCUGUCAUCAUUGCUCCAUCUCUCAAGUUUCCGG
ensembl:lncRNA